UUAGAGGAGUAGUUUUGUAAUAAUUCAAAAUUCAAGAGCCACUGUGAGGGCUAGAUUUUUCUGCGGAAAGAGAAAAAGAAACCAAACCUUAUCUCUUUUAUCUCUCUAUCUGUUUCACUUCAUCUAGCCUCUUCCACCACUUCUCUCUAUCUGUUUCGCUUCAUUUUUUUCUGUAUCAUAACAAUUAGAUGCUUGUGAAUCAAAACUUUAGUAUUAGGUUUUGCGUCCUCUUCUUCAACACCGGCUCUUGAAGAUUUGUUUUGAAUCGGUGAGAAAGAGGUGAUGAUGAUAAUCAACAACAACUGAAAACCAAGAUUAAUCUACGAAAACUGAAUCGAAAGGCACUAACGAAGUAGAAAGCUCCAGCACCAAUCCAUCAUCAUCAAAGCCAUCUAAAUCUAAUAGUGAAGUGGUGCAAAGGAAAGCAAAGGAGAAGGUUAACAACAUUCUCGUGUUUGAUAAAGAUGGGAUUUAAUUUGUGAUUUUGUGUUUUCAAUGACUUGGGAACUCAUGGAAUUAAUGUUAUUAUCUACAAUCUUUGGUUCACCGACGAUGGGGAAAUGAAGCUCAAUUUUGAAUCAUAUGUAAAGGAUAUCCAACUAGCUGGAGCCCCAUAAAUGUCCAAGAAAGCUACUUUACAAGCUCUAUGCCAAUAACAUCUGACCAACAAGCUUCACUAUUCUCUUCGUGUACAUGACACAUGUCUGUUCACUUCUUCUAAACACAACCGCUUUUGGAUGUUGUCAGUCAGAAUGAGGUGUAGCAGGUACUUUGGAGGUUAAUUUUAUUCAACCAACUCAUAACAAGCAAAAUUUUGGGAGGACUACAAUUUUUCAAAGGCUUGAAACCCGCUUGAAAGAAAUGACACUGGAGUAUUGGAUAUCAAUUUGGAAAAGGAUUCAUUAGCAUUAAUGGGUCGUAUAGAUUUAAGAAAAUCUCAUGCUUCCGGUCAUUCCAUGGUUGCCUGGUGUGGCGCCAGAUCCGCAAAAAUGGUGGAGGCUCUUAACUAUAUGAAUAAGGUAUGCUUGAUCUGUUACCCUUCAAUUUUUUGUUCUGUAGGUUUUAGCUUUCAUAAAUUGCUUAAAGUGUGCUUGGUUUUACAUUAAUGUAACUCUAAAGUGACUUUUCUUUCAUUUUUACUUUUCUUUCAUAGCUUUUUCUACAAGGAAGAUUUAUCACUUGUUUUAGUGUUCAAAUGUGAACUCCAGUUCCUCUUUUUAGUGUCUGUAAGUUCUUUUUCAGCUUGUCCUCUUUUAUUGAAGAAGACUAAACUAUGUUGUUCAACAUUAUUGGGGAUAAACUUAGUUUUUUGGGCAAGUACUUAAGCAUACAAUCUUAAUCCAAUUGUUAAUCUUUUUGUACUAUGUUUACAGUUACACAUAUACAUUAGCAGAAGGCCUUUAUUCUUUGCAUGGCUUGUAAUUUUAAUUUGUACCUUUAAAGGAAUUACCUGCCUAUAUUAUUAUUUCAUAGGACUGCUCAUUUGAUGGUAUUCUCUUGCAUAUGUUCAAUGCCUCAGCUUUGAGCAGUUUUGUAUCAAUUUUACAAAUGAGAAACUACAACAACCUUUCAACCAGGUAUCUUACCGAGAGAAGUUUGGCUUGAUCGUUGAUUGUAUGGUUUAUUCCCUUCUUUAAUUUUUAUCAUUCAAUGUAUUUUUCUUUAAAAUUGAGCAGGAAGAGGACACAAUUGUCAAAUUUUCGACAAGUCCUCGUAUUUUCCUCACAUGUUGAAUUUUUCAUGUACAAGUAUUAUGUUGUUAUUGUUUUGAAUUCAUUUUGUUUGAAUAUUUUGCAGGUGGAAUUAAAGUUUGAUCAUAUAAAUGGUAAUAUAUGCAGCUAUGAACCUCUCUACGAGUGUCAACUGGCAAGUUUGCUGGCUUAGGGAUGGAGUAAUGGACCUGAUUUGAGCUAGUUUGUUAGAAGAUGAAGUCUUAAAUGGUGUUGUAUAUGUUUUUAAACUUUAUGGUUGUAAAUCUUGUAAUAGGAACAUAGUUCAAGGUUUUCCAACUUAGUGUUAGAUUUUUUUCAUACUUGGAACUUGCAGUAUUUAGUUGAAAUUGUAGACUGAAUUCACUUUUCAAUACGUAUUGAGCUUUAAAGUUGUUGUCAAUUUAAUUUUGUGAAA